rnacentral:rRNA from 1 species
GACGAACGCUGGCGGCGUGCCUAAUACAUGCAAGUCGAGCGAAGUUUCUCUGGUGCUUGCACCGGAAAAACUUAGCGGCGAACGGGUGAGUAACACGUAAAGAACCUGCCUCAUAGACUGGGACAACUAUUGGAAACGAUAGCUAAUACCGGAUAACAGCAUUAACUGCAUGGUUGAUGUUUAAAAGUUGGUUUUGCUAACACUAUGAGAUGGCUUUGCGGUGCAUUAGCUAGUUGGUGGGGUAAAGGCCUACCAAGGCGACGAUGCAUAGCCGACCUGAGAGGGUGAUCGGCCACACUGGGACUGAGACACGGCCCAGACUCCUACGGAGGCAGCAGUAGGGAAUCUUCCGCAAUGGGCGAAAGCCUGACGGAGCAACGCCGCGUGAGUGAAGAAGGAUUUCGGUUCGUAAAGCUCUGUUGUUAGGGAAGAAUGAUUGUGUAGUAACUAUACACAGUAGAGACGGUACCUAACCAGAAAGCCACGGCUAACUACGUG